GCUGCAAACUGAGGUCCAGGUCAGAUUAGAUGAGCAUAUUAUCCUGUUUACUGCCUCAAACUGACUUGGAAGCUAAGGAAGGAAAGGGCUGGGAAAUGUGAGAGCUAGAGAGAGCCAGAAAUUUUCAAAUCAGCUAGAGGAAUGUGCUGACAUACUCUCUGGUUGGGGAAAGGAGAACUGUACUUCUCAAUGCAGGUUUUUGAAGCCUUCUUAUCGUGCACGUAUUUAAUCAAUAAAGGAUACACUUUGGAUAUCUAGACACUUCUAUGUUCCAUCUCCAGACUCCAUAGCAAGUCCAGUUUUCAACCAGAAAGAAAUCUCAGCCAAGUCAUGACAAGGAACAUAUCUUCCAUCCGAGGAAAAGAAAUCAAUAAGAGAUCAAUCAUGCUGAGAUCAAUAAGAGUAAAAGGGAGACCAAUGGGAGCCUAACCCUUCCUACUGCCAGCUCUCAUGGAAAAGAAGCUAAGAGCAAAUGCCUGGAUGUGACAUGCAUAUUCUCAGAGGGAAGAAA